rnacentral:lncRNA from 1 species
AGGUUAACAGAAAGAGAAUUGAGAGCAAAUCGAAUUCAACAUGGAUCCCGAAUGAUGAUCCAAAGGCAGCCUAAAAAUCAUCUAGAAGCCCGGCCCAUGGAAGCUUUGCUCGGCCCAAAAGAAAGGCACGGUGAACAGUGGUUCACAUAGAUCUGUGUGGGGUCUUGUGCCAGUUCAAAGAAGGUUCAAGCUAGCAUGAUGGGUGUUGGUGGGCUUGGUGGUUUCAAAUAGGCACGCUUGAGAGCUAUGACAAUGGCUUGGUUUAAGUCAAAUAAAAGGAAGCAAGCAGGCAGGGUCCAGAGGCUACCACGGGAUUCAAAUCAAAACAAAGAGGUGCACGAGCUUUGAGGCUGGGUGAUUUAAAACACCCUGGGACUUCAGGCUUUGCAUGAAGAGCAGUACACGCAC